rnacentral:rRNA from 1 species
GACGAACCGUGCGAACGUUAUUCGGAAUCACUGGGCUUAAAGCGCGUGUAGGCGGGCCACCACGUCGGCUGCUGAAAUCCCCCGGCUCAACCGGGGAACGGGCACCGAUACGGGUGGCCUGGAGGGGGGUAGGGGGGGCCUGGAACUUCCGGUGGAGCGGUGAAAUGCGUUGAGAUCGGAAGGAACGCCCGUGGCGAAAGCGAGGCCCUGGACCCUUUCUGACGCUGAGAUGCGAAAGCCAGGGGAGCGAACGGGG